GAUGAACGCUGGCGGCGUGCCUAAUACAUGCAAGUCGAGCGAACAGACGAGGAGCUUGCUCCUCUGACGUUAGCGGCGGACGGGUGAGUAACACGUGGAUAACCUACCUAUAAGACUGGGAUAACUUCGGGAAACCGGAGCUAAUACCGGAUAAUAUAUUGAACCGCAUGGUUCAAUAGUGAAAGACGGUUUUGCUGUCACUUAUAGAUGGAUCCGCGCCGCAUUAGCUAGUUGGUAAGGUAACGGCUUACCAAGGCAACGAUGCGUAGCCGACCUGAGAGGGUGAUCGGCCACACUGGAACUGAGACACGGUCCAGACUCCUACGGGAGGCAGCAGUAGGGAAUCUUCCGCAAUGGGAGAAAGCCUGACGGAACAACGCCGCGUGAGUGAUGAAGGUCUUCGGAUCGUAAAACUCUGUUAUUAGGGAAGAACAAAUGUGUAAGUAACUAUGCACGUCUUGACGGUACCUAAUCAGAAAGCCACGGCUAACUACGUG
rnacentral:rRNA from 1 species